UGGGGAAUAUUGCACAAUGGGCGCAAGCCUGAUGCAGCCAUGCUGCGUGUAUGAAGAAGGCCUUCGGGUUGUAAAGUACUUUCAGCGGGGAGGAAGGGAGUAAAGUUAAUACCUUUGCUCAUUGACGUUACCCGCAGAAGAAGCACCGGCUAACUCCGUGCCAGCAGCCGCGGUAAUACGGAGGGUGCAAGCGUUAAUCGGAAUUACUGGGCGUAAAGCGCACGCAGGGGGUUUGUUAAGUCAGAUGUGAAAUCCCCGGGCUCAACCUGGGAACUGCAUCUGAUACUGGCAAGCUUGAGUCUCGUUGAGGGGGGUAGAAUUCCAGGUGUAGCGGUGAAAUGCGUGGAGAUCUGGAGGAAUACCGGUGACGAAUGCGGCCCCCUGGACGAAGACUGACGCUCAGGUGCGAAAGCGUGGGGAGCAAACAGG
rnacentral:rRNA from 1 species